AUUGAACGCUGGCGGCAGGCCUAACACAUGCAAGUCGAGCGGCAGCACGGGUACUUGUACCUGGUGGCGAGCGGCGGACGGGUGAGUAAUGCCUAGGAAUCUGCCUAGUAGUGGGGGAUAACGUCCGGAAACGGGCGCUAAUACCGCAUACGUCCUACGGGAGAAAGUGGGGGAUCUUCGGACCUCACGCUAUUAGAUGAGCCUAGGUCGGAUUAGCUAGUUGGUGAGGUAAUGGCUCACCAAGGCGACGAUCCGUAACUGGUCUGAGAGGAUGAUCAGUCACACUGGAACUGAGACACGGUCCAGACUCCUACGGGAGACAGCAGUGGGGAAUAUUGGACAAUGGGCGAAAGCCUGAUCCAGCCAUGCCGCGUGUGUGAAGAAGGUCUUCGGAUUGUAAAGCGCUUUAAGUUGGGAGGAAGGGCAGUUACCUAAUACGUGAUUGUUUUGACGUUACCGACAGAAUAAGCACCGGCUAACUCUGUGCCAGCAGCCGCGGUAAUACAGAGGGUGCAAGCGUUAAUAGGAAUUACUGGGCGUAAAGCGCGCGUAGGUGGUUUGUUAAGUUGGAUGUGAAAGCCCCGGGCUCAACCUGGGAACUGCAUCCAAAACUGGCAAGCUAGAGUAUGGUAGAGGGUGGUGGAAU
rnacentral:rRNA from 1 species